AUUGAACGCUGGCGGCAGGCCUAACACAUGCAAGUCGAACGAGUGGCGGACGGGUGAGUAAUGUCUGGGAAACUGCCCGAUGGAGGGGGAUAACUACUGGAAACGGUAGCUAAUACCGCAUACCAUCGGAUGGGCCCAGAUGGGAUUAGCUAGUAGGUGGGGUAACGGCUCACCUAGGCGACGAUCCCUAGCUGGUCUGAGAGGAUGACCAGCGACAAUGGAACUGCGGCACGGUGCAGACGGCAACGGGAGGCAGCAGUGGGGAAUAUUGUACAAUGGGGGAACGUGUGAUGCAGCAACGCGCCGUUCGGGAUGACGGCCUUGGGGUGGUAAACCGCUGUCAGCCAUGACGCGGUAGUGGCAGAAGAAGCACCGGCUAACUACGUGCCAGCCGCCGCGGUAAUUC
rnacentral:rRNA from 1 species